UACGAAGGGGGCUAGCGUUGCUCGGAAUGACUGGGCGUAAAGGGCGCGUAGGCGGAUGGCACAGUCAGAUGUGAAAUUCCCGGGCUUAACCUGGGGGCUGCAUUUGAUACGUGUUGUCUUGAGUUCGGAAGAGGGUCGUGGAAUUCCCAGUGUAGAGGUGAAAUUCGUAGAUAUUGGGAAGAACACCGGUGGCGAAGGCGGCGACCUGGUCCGACACUGACGCUGAGGAGCGAAAGCGUGGGGAGCGAACAGG
rnacentral:rRNA from 1 species